GCUGGGCAUGGUGGCGCAUACCUGUAAUUCUAGUGGCUUGGGAGGCUGAGGCAGGAAGAUUGCAAGUUCAAAGCCAGCUUCAGCAACUUAGCAAGGCCCUAAGCAACUUAGCAAGAUCUUGUCUCAA
rnacentral:sRNA from 1 species